rnacentral:rRNA from 1 species
CCUACGGGAGGCAGCAGUGGGGAAUAUUGCGCAAUGGGCGAAAGCCUGACGCAGCGACGCCGCGUGAGGGAUGAAGGUCUUCGGAUCGUAAACCUCUGUCAUCAGAGAAGAAAGGUCACUGUGCUAAUCAGCAGUGAAUUGACGGUACCUGCAAAGGAAGCACCGGCUAACUCCGUGCCAGCAGCCGCGGUAAUACGGAGGGUGCGAGCGUUAAUCGGAAUUACUGGGCGUAAAGCGCUCGUAGGCGGUAUGUCAAGUCUAGGGUGAAAUCCGUGCGCUUAACGGGGGAACUGCCUUUGAAACUGGGAAACUUGAGUGUGGGAGAGGAUAGUGGAACUCCAGGUGUAGGGGUGAAAUCCGUAGAUAUCUGGAGGAACACCAGUGGCGAAGGCGACUCUCUGGCACAUAACUGACGCUGAGGAGCGAAAGCGUGGGUAGCAAACAGGAUUAGAUACCCUAGUAGUC